UAGAGGAAAUUAUAGUUUAGAUGAUUAAUUAUGUAUACAUUAUUGAUUAGAACCAUUUAUUCUAAUACUAUUAUGUUAUGGUAUGAAAAGUAAAAGUUAUUGGUUAAGCUGUUACUGAAAAUGUAAGCAGAACAAAUUAAUUGUCUGGGCCUCCUGGGAAGUUAACGGAGGAGCGAGGCUAUGGCUUGUCAGACAGAUAAGAAAUGUCUGGGAGACGUUCCAGGCCUAAUGAACAAUGGGCUCUUGUGAGAAUCGGAGAGAGGGGGGAUAAACUGAAGAUGUCAUGUUCAGUUUAUAACCUGUGGAAAAAUGUGUAUGCUUCAGUACUCUCUUGAAAUAAACGCUGUUACUUUUGGCUUUUAAGACUGGUCUCAAUCUACUUCAUGCAUAAUUAAUGAACUUACAACUCAUUAAUGAAUUAGAAUGAGUGAGAAUCUGGUUUUGGCUACAAAACAUACAGGAAUUCAGAAAUUCCACUAACAUUUGGUCCUUCGAGCCGGAUCUAAAUACCCCUCCCUGGUAUCUUGAGGUAGUACGCUGAAAAUCGUGCACGGACGAGUUUUUGACUCGUUUUACAAAAGACCUGACCUCUGAAUUGAGGUUAAAAUUAAAACAGGCCUGCGUAUUAUCACAGAUUCCAGGAAAGGUGACUAGAUUCAAACGAACAAUGCUUCCCAGCCGGCAGCCAGGUAAAGUAGCCUUUAUUCUCGAUUUUGGGGGGAUUUGAGUUCUUUAAUUGAUGUUCUGAGAAUUCAUCAAUGGUGAGAGCUUUGCUAUCCCCACAGGGGUGUAUGACCAUCAUACAAUGGGUUUUGUAGAACCGACAUACACGGAAGCAGGUUCGAAAAUAACCUGUGGUAAUGUGCACUACCGCAAAUAAACUAAACUUAAUCAUGAGAGGCACACCCGCCCGAGAUUAAGAAGGGAUAUUAAAUAGGUACUGGGAGAUAGGACGGUGAUCUUGUAAAAAUACUAGGCGUGGGGAGACAGCAAGGAAUGCAAGAUAACUGGAUUGGUCAUUUGAAUAGUGGCAGUAUUGAUCAUCGUUCCGAUUCAACUAUUACUACGGAAAUAUCCAAAUAAGGAGGAGAGGGAAUUUAAAUCUAAAGAAAUGAGAUAAAAGCCAUAUCUAUAGACAGGAUAGUUCCAUGCGAGAGGGGAGUCUAACAAUUAGUGGCGUGAGAUAACGAUUAUUAGCGUUCUUUACUGACACAACCGGAAAAUAAGAUUUUAACUAGGGCUUUACAAACCCUGGGCUUAUAGUUGUAAGGUUAGACCUAAUAUCUGAUUCAAAAGUCAAAGCUAUUGGUAAGAUUUCCAUAAAAGAGCUAAACUUAAUCAUGAGAGAUUAAGACAGAAAAGGAAGGAUUGUUUAGCCAAAUAAGGAGGAGAGGGAAACUUAAAUCUAAAGAAAUGAGAUAAAAGCCAUAUCUAUAGACAGGAUAGUUCCAUGCGAGAGGGGAGUCUAACAAUUAGUGGCGUGAGAUAACGAUUAUUAGCGUUCUUUACUGACACAACCGGAAAAUAAGAUUUUAACUAGGGCUUUACAAACCCUGGGCUUAUAGUUGUAAGGUCAGACCUAAUAUCUGAUUCAAAAGUCAAAGCUAUUGGUAAGAUUUCCAUAAAAGAGACACACAAAUAGUCAGAAAAGGAAGGAUGGUUUAGAAAUUCCUCAAAAGAAGUGUCGAAAAACUAGCGGGAGAUUACCGUAAUACGAGAACAAAGAGAGGAGAAGGGAAGCAGCCAAAAUCUGACUCAGACAAAGAACCCGAAUGAUAGCUGAUAUUUAUAACCUUUCCUUGCUAUACCCGUAAUUAGGACGAUUUUCUGGGAAUUCCCGGUGGCGAAGUUUUGGGAGUACGGACAAUUAUAAUAAUAAUGUUGAGAAAAAUGGAUAAGGUGAGUCAAAAGAAAAAUACAAAAUGGUUUAAUUGUAAUCCCGGCCGAGGCGGUUAACUAAAAUGGAUUUUAGAUUGUAAUUGACAUAUUUGUAUGUUCUGCCUGAAAAAUACGGACGCCAGUGUUUGUAAAAGAUAUGAAAUGAACGUUUAUUAUGUGUUUUAGAUUGAAUACAUUUUGUUUAAAAAAAGAAGGCAUUAAAAAUAAUGGCGAGACAAUUUCGAUGAAAAACGCUAUUUUGCCCAAAAUGAUCUGGUGGAAUAAUGUAUUGAGAUGGGAGUCGUAUUUAAAUCAAAUGUAUCAUGGAAGAGAAAGUUACCUAAGGUUAAAUGUAGGGAAUAACGGAGAGAUACGAUACAAUUUCGGGCUAUCCGGACGUUAUAGCUAUUUAUGAAUUGACUGACAUAUGAUAAAUUUAGCACAAAACAUGGUACGUUUAAAUGUUAGAGUAUGGUAAACUGAGAAGUUUGGGUUGGAGUUACGUUGAUGAUCGUAAAGAGGCCACAGCUUGCAACGGAAGUGCUGCAAGGUACUAAAUGGGCUAUAUAGUGCAACGCUUGGACUAUAAAAUAUGUAAGAAUAGUUUAAUCGUAAAAAGUUGUGAUUGUUUUUCCGAGUAUUGAUUUUUGGUUAGGUAACGCCUGGGAAUUCGAACUAGAAGUUAAAGUAUCCUAAAAAAAAAAACUAUCUAUUUUCUCUGUUUUUCUUUACGGGGAAAAAUAAUGUAUUAUCUUAAAGGGACAGUGCACGUCAAUCACAGUGGUAAGAGUAUGACAGUGGAAAAAAUAUUGGUGGACGACAAAUUGAAGAUAGACUGAAUAAGUUACAUGAAACAUCAAGAGAUUUAAAACAAACGAUGUGAAGGGAUCAUCAGAAUUAUUGGGUGUCGUUGUAAGGGGAUUUCCCUGUUCCCAGAGACAAGGUAUUUUAAAGGUGUACACUCACUAAUGCUAGUAUGAGUUUUUAAUUAGACAAGUGAAUAACGUAUUGGGAAUAGAGUUGUAAUUAAAAUACUAAGUCAAAGACGAGACAGUUACUUAGAGCAAAAUGGAUUCUAAAUGAUAACAAAGAGACAAUUACGAUUUAUGCCCAUCGAAAGGUUUUUAUAAAAUUAGCGAAUUUAGAGAUGUUGGUUGGGGUGGCAAAUUAUAAUUCAGGAUUUGAACUGAUGUGAUAAAUUAGGUUUGGUUAAUCGAACAAGAAUUAUUUACAAUUCAUUUAAAGUCGCUACGAAUGGAGCUGAGGUUGAGCGCUUGAUGAUGUCGUCACUAGCGAGGCACUUUUGUCGCCAGGGACUGGGGAUAACGGAGCAAAUUGAAUGGCUGUUAGUGUGGGUAUCGAGGUUUCGAGUGACUUUUCAGAAGUUGAUGUAAAUUACAAAAUACAUUUUUAACAGUAAUUUGAGAGUUGUCAGGAAAGAUGCUAAAAACUAUCAGCGGAUACCUAGGUAGGCAUCAAGGUGUGGCGUUUGUUUGGGUUGAACUAUGUUAGGGAGAGAGAGACUGGAUGUAUGAUUCGUAAAACAUCGUGGUAAUGGAUUCCAUGGUUGUGAUUCCAGGGUUGAUUGUUUACGUAACACCAGUGAAUUUGAGCACUUUCAAUUGUGUGGAGCCAUGUUAGGGUAUUUAAAGUUUGAAAAGCAACCUCUAUAGAAAAAUAUAACUGCAUAUGUUUCGGGAAAUAAGCUAGGUUGAAUUUGGUUAUUCAAGCUUUUCCCCUGAUACGUAGACAUGCGUGUUUAAGUAGGAUUCUUCAUUCCGGGACAGAUGGAAGUUAUCUAAAAUAAGUCAAUUAAAGGAGCCAUGGGAGAAAGUGAAUGCAUAUUUAUUAAAUAUCGGGGAUUAAAUUACGGAUUUCUUACACUGAGAAAUGUAUCGGGUUAAUUGUAUCUACGGGUAACACGUUCAUUUGAGUAAACAUAUACAUUGACGGUGUUUAAAACUUAUGAUUAAUGAUUUUAGUUAAAGGGGAAUCAUCAUUAGGUUUAGUUUAUAGUUCACUUUUGAGUUUCUGAAUCGGAAUUAGCAUAGUGAAUGCUAGUUAGGAGUGUUGUGUUUUUCUGGGAAAAUGGAUGUUUAAAGGGUCUCAAUUUUAGAUGUUUCCUGGGAUUAUAACCUGGGGAGAGAGCAGCCAUAAACGACCAAAUUGAAAAAGGUCUGAAAAUAUAUACACAUAAAACAAUUGUUAGAACUAUUUGUUUUAGUGCAAAGGUAUUUUAAAGAGGCACGCUCACAUAUGGAACCUUAUGAGUUGUUAUUUUAUGGGUUUUAAUUACACAGGUGACUAUUUCUAUUGUAAGGAUAAAGGGUUCUUUAUGUCUAAUAUGGUAUGACCUUUUGACCUUAUCGUGACUGUCUUCUGAGGUCUGAUCAGCCUCAGGGGAGAGUCAUUUGUAUAAUGGAUGUGGUCAUAUUGAGUUACUAGUUUUAAGGUAAAUUCAUUAGAAAUGAAGCAGUUUUGGUUGAGGGGUUAGAAUUACUGUUUGAACCGCAAAUGAGAAAGUGGUUCAGGAUUCUGUUUUUACAACAUUAGCUGUGAAGUUUUUGAAGGGGCUAUUAGUGAUUUGGUAUUGUAACAGAGAGAAAGUCAUAUUUAUCAUUGAGAAUAAAUAGGGGAAGAUAACAUAUUUUGAGCCAACGGGGCAGGGAAGAAUUUGAGAUGUUUUUGUUUGGUUUUAACCCCUGUGUACAGGAGUGCCAAAAGACGGGUGACAUUACCUUUGUAAUGGGGGAGGGUGUCCGUAUGGGGAUUACAUGAUAACCAACUUGGGACAGUUCCGGGAUUGGAGAAGAGGGUAUCCUUAUAGCAUAGGGGAUCCCACAAAGGUGGAUAGGUUUUCCAUGAUAUGGGGAAACCUGGGAGCACUGUUGAACUCUGUAAAGGUGAUGAAAUCCUACUAACCAUCAAAACUAUUAAGCUCUCUGAUGCAGGCACUUACACCCUCGGACUACAAAGGACCGGGACAGACACGAUGGGUGUGUUUUCUAUUAAGGUACUGCCAAAACCAGAGGUCCCAGACGAACCAGGGCCAGACACACUCCUCUACCACCCCUUGACCGAACCUGCCACCACUGUGUUAAAAAUCCCAUUCAGGUAAUUAAUGUUAGAAUAUUCAGCUAUUGAUCAAUUAGGCACUGAGACUGGUUUUGAUGGUAGGGACAAUUUGUGGCUGUCUUAUACAGAAUAGACUUGCUUUGGAUAUGCUUCUUGCCAGUCAGGGGGGCGUCUGCAAGAUGUUCGGUGAACAAUGUUGCACGUAUAUUCCUAAUAACACCAGCCCAGAUGGUAGAAUAUCUAAGGUCCUUAAUGGGCUUGAUGCACUAUCUGUUGAGAUGAGGACCAUGGCGGGGGUGGAGGAGUCUGGCUGUUCUCUUGGUUGAGAGCCUGGUUUGGUAAGUACACUGGUAUGGUGGUUACUGGAUUUCUGACCCUAAUUCUUGUAUUUUUGUUAUUGAUGUGUUGUGCUGCUUGCAUCAUACCGUGUUUUAAGAAGUCUGUUACAGAUGUGGUGAAGGCUUCAGGCAUGAUGCCUUUGCUUGAUGCUCCAGUUGGAGAUGCUGAUACUGAAGCAUGCUUUCAGGGGAGGAUGAGACUGACUAAUAUGGUUAGCAUUUAUUAGACUUUGUUUGAUUAUUAUAAGUUUUUAAAUAGUAUUACAUUUAACAGGAAUAUAGGACAUCUGUGAUGAUUUAAGAUUAUUGUUAGGAUUAAGAUAGUUUAAUUAACCUAUAUAAGGACUUUAGAAAUUGCCACCAUAGACAUGUUUUUCUAAAAGAAAAUCCAUGAGUUUAGAUAAAGCCAAACAGUGAGACAUGUAGUUCAAAUUUGGAAACAUGAGAAACAGAGCUACAGACAGAUAGGGGAAAAGGCAGACAGAAGAGCCCUCCCCCGCACUGCAGAGACCUUGAAGGUUGGAGAGCAGAGAGGAGAAGUUUUAGAAAGGGAGCCAGGACGAGCAAAGAUAACAGAAUGUGUAGAUAACAGUCACUGAGUGGAGACAAAAGGGAGAAUUGGACAUGUGGAAAAUUAAAGGGGCGCUCCUACAUGAUAAUGUCAGAACAGAAGGAUAAUAUACUAAUCUUACCUAAGUCAUUAUUUAGAAUAGGUAAGGUUGUUACCUGGGCAGAGCCAGGUAACAAAGGGGGAUGGGUAAAUAGUGUUCUAGAAUAGGAUGUGACCUACGGGAUAAUUAACUAAUAAAAAAAUUUUUUUUAGCUAAUAAACAGAAUAAAUGAGAAACUGUUUGUUAACCAAACCUGUAUGUCCAAGAUUUUAUGCACUACAGGUGAACUACAGGUGAAGUCACUCAAUCCAGUCCCAUAGGCUUGUUGGGGGACCAUACCAAGGUGACAGCUAGCUGAAGCUGAAAGAGCUACCCGGAUUCAUAUCGCACUGCGGGAGGGUAAGGCACAUUAACACUGUCGAACAAUAACAGAGUUCGAGAGGAGAACUGGAAUUAACAGAAUUCUGGGGGCCAUCUCUCGAAUGAAGAAUACCUUACCUGUCCUUUCCUCACUGUUCUUGUUCAUAGAAGUGAAAAUGUGUCUGACUCUUGCUAAUGAUGUGUUUUCUGGAAGAGGGUGGGGCUUUAUAGGUGAGCUGUCCAUCCUAAACUGUAUGGUUGGAGAUCUUAUUCCUACAACAUGAACCCGAGAAGGCUAGAGGGUAAUAUUGACAUAAUUAAACGAGAAAUUAGUAUUAACCAAGCAUAAGAGAUCACUUGAUCUGGAUAAACAGGAAGUGAGAGUAGGAUAGGGAGGGAUGUCUCAGUGGAGUUCUAUGUAAACCAAGUGGUGUCUGACUCCUUGGCAGUUCAGGACUAAGAGUAGCUAUGAUGGAAGACAUAUAUGCACGUCUCUGUAGUUCAUGGAAACAAGUUAUAGCUCACAGCAUGUGAGAAGGCUACAUAAAUCUACAUACCCAGCAUGGAAGGAGAAAGUAAGGGUUUCAGUUGAUAACCUAGGGCAUUCCAGGUAGAAAAAGUUAGAGCAGCUGGUUGCUCUAUAGACAGCUGAAUACAAGCAUUGUCCCUGACAAAGCAGAUACUGACGGUGGAGUUGUCCAGAGCCAAGAGCCGGUGUGGAUAGUUCAGAAAUGGAAUUAUUCACCUAAGGGAACAGCCUGUAUAGUAAAGCUAUUCAUGAAAGCAGGAAAGCCAGAUAACAACAGUUGUGUGGAUUUGCACUAUUUAUAUCCACAUGUUCCUCUGAAAUCUAGGCUUCCUCCCUUCAAAGUGACAAGAGGAGAUUGAUACUGUCUGGCCCGGUAUAGUGCUUAUGGGACAGAGAAUAUUACUACUGAUGGGGUGAUGAGUGAUUUGGCUGACUGGUUGAGAUCUGGGGAUGUCAGUAAGAUAAGGAGACUCAGGGCUCACAUCUGUUGAAUGUGUGGGAGAAUGACAUGAUGGCCGAGUAUUACUGGCUAAUUGAACAGAGGUAUGUGUACUGGUACAUUUUGAGAAUGCCUUUUACACUCAUUGUGUUGACUAAACGGGAGAAAAUAAGUACUCCGACUGGGUCUUUUGAUGAUAGGGUUUGUAUUAAUAACAUUGUGGAUCCAAGGGUGGCAGAUGAGAUCAAAGCUACAAAUUAGAUCCUGGCAGGAUUAGAGACAAGUAUUUUUGGUGGUCCACUCUCAAUGAGAAUGUGGAUUGGAUCGAUUAUAUCUAUUAAAAAUCCACAGCGCUUCACCAAUUAUUUUAGAGAUGUAAUGAAUGACUAGGCAGAAUAGAAUAGUCUUGGAUGUUUGCUGGCUGAAGACGGUGGGGGUGUAUAGGUAGUUUGACUCCGGGAUAUACAGUUGGGAUGGAUCAGUGACCAAGGCCUUGUCUGGUUUACACACCCUAGUUCACGGGUUGGCAGAAAACUCUGGGGUGGAUACUUCCCUGACUAUUGGUUUGAUAGUACAUUUGGAAAAUGGAAAAGUGUUAUAAUCACGGUGUUUUGGGCUGUAUCCACCUGCAUGACUGUUUUAAUAUUAUGAUAUAAUAUUAAUAAUAUAAUAAUAUAAUAUAUGACAAUAGAUGGUGCGGUGUGGGCCGAUUCCAGGUUCUAACCCGUGGAGGACUGAAGGCAUGUCUACAGAGGAAGUGGACGAAUCUGGAUCUUUCAUCAUUGGGGAAUUUAUGUUUGAUGAGACUAGUGUUGAGAUGAAGGGGAAUUAGAUUGUAAUUUGUUUCCAUGAUUAAACUGUUUUUUUAAUGAAGGUCUGACGAAAAUUCGGAAGGAAGAGUUAUGAUUCUGAUGUAGGUUUAAAAACAGUUGGAGUUAAGGUUAGAAUUGAUUAAUGAAAUGUGAAGAGUUGGAUAAACAUUUAUAAUUGAUUUGUUGAUUAUGUGUCUAUUCAUAUGAUAAUCUGAUAAACCUCUAUAUAAAGGUUAGUUAAGUUCGUUUAUACUUUCAUUUUUUAUGAUUAAAUAAAACUAGAUGUAGAAUUGAAUGUAUAAUAUUUGAUCAAAGGGAGGAUUGUUAGAGGAAAUUAUAGUUUAGAUGAUUAAUUAUGUAUACAUUAUUGAUUAGAACCAUUUAUUCUAAUACUAUUAUGUUAUGGUAUGAAAAGUAAAAGUUAUUGGUUAAGCUGUUACUGAAAAUGUAAGCAGAACAAAUUAAUUGUCUGGGCCUCCUGGAAGUUAACGGAGGAGCGAGGCUAUGGCUUGUCAGACAGAUAAGAAAUGUCUGGGAGACGUUCCAGGCCUAAUGAACAAUGGGCUCUUGUGAGAAUCGGAGAGAGGGGGGAUAAACUGAUGAUGUCAUGUUCAGUUUAUAACCUGUGGAAAAAUGUGUAUGCUUCAGUACUCUCUUGAAAUAAACGCUGUUACUUUUGGCUUUUAAGACUGGUCUCAAUCUACUUCAUGCAUAAUUAAUGAACUUACAACUCAUUAAUGAAUUAGAAUGAGUGAGAAUCUGGUUUUGGCUACAAAACAUACAGGAAUUCAGAAAUUCCACUAACACCAAGUCAGAAAGGAAAAAGAAAGGAUGCAACAUCUGACAGCAACCAAGUCAGAAGUUCCUACUGUCACCUUGGAAGCUGACUCGUAAAAUCACAAAGAUUCCAUUCAAGGUCUUGGAUGCUCCAGAACUACAGGAUGACUUCUACCUCAACCUCGUGGACUGGUCUGCUCUAAUGGUGCUAAGCAAGCUUAGGCAUUUGUCUAUCUCUGGAGUGCCUGUUCAUUUCUAUACAAGCCCCCAGAUGUGCAUUGAUUUAUUUUUCCAGGGGCAAUCAUGUGACAGUCGGGACUCACAAAGGCUACGUACAGAUCUGGGAUGCAGCAGCUGGCAAAAAGCUUUUUACACUAGAGGGACACACUGCUAGAGUUGGUGAGCAUUCAGGGGGGAAAAACACCCUUCUGUGCAAAUGUCCAUUAUAGAUGUUGCAUAUUGGUUGUUCAUUUCAUCAGUCUCUUUGGCAUAGAACGCAGACCAGUUGCCAUCAGGCAGUCGAGACCUUAUGAUCCUGCAGAUGAUUCAACACAUACCUCUCCAGUCUGAGCGCCGGUUGCAGGGUCACCUGCAGGAGGUGUGUGUGGUCUGAAGUGGAGUACAGAGAGCCAUAGCUGCGGGAAGUAGUGCCGCAGCACCCACUGAUAAAUCAAAAUAAAUACAAUUAUAAACAUUUAAAAAGGAAUAGACUAAUGAUGGAAUGCCUUGAAUUCAUCACAGGACAUUCAUCAACAUAAUGCAAAAUAAUGAACCAACAUGGACACGGCAUCUUAUCAUAGAGGAUGGAGGAGCAAAGAACUGUGUUUACUUUGUCACUCGGAAACAAUUGAAACUGGACCAUGAACAGAUUUUUUUUUUUGUCAUCAAUGUUUUUAUUCAAUUUUUUUUUUCAAUUAUUGUCCAGUUCAAUUUACAGUUUUGAUUUUUGUGUUCCAUGUCUAUGAUGAAACUACGUGUUAAAGGAGGGUUAAGAUCUAAACUUUGAGUUGAUGAUGUUACAGUCAGGUCAUAUUUAUUUGCCAUUUAAAAAUAUAUAUUUUAUUGUUGUAUGGACUUGGGCAAGAUGCAUAAUAUAAUGGGACAAUGGGACAAUCAUGGAAGUCCAGUUUCUUUAAAUUGCUAGUAAACAUUGAAAAAGCACUACAUUGAAUAUAGUAUUGCGGAAAAAACAAAACUAAGUAAAAUGUGGGGAAUUAACAGAAAAUGUAUGCAAAUCAAGAAUAAGAGUAUUGGCAAAAGAUGUCUAGUGUUUUCAUUUCCACACACAACUGCUUAUACAUAUAAUUUUCUUUCUUCUGUGAUUUCAAGUAAUUGUCAUUUGUCAAUCUCAACAGCCAUCUGGUUUUGGCCUAUAUAGAUAUUGAUUAUUUGCCAUAAUAUGUACAUAUUUAUAUGGAAUGGAAUAAGCAGAUUUAUCUAAAUCUAUGACACUGAGUAUAAGGUUUCCUUUUUAUUGAAGGAAGUGGAGUGGAUGCAGGCUGUGAUCCCUUUUCCUUUGACAGUUCUGUUGUAGAUCGUUGCACGUUCUGUUGAUCCUAUAAAAUAGCAAACGUCACCGGAUAUGAGAAAAGGGCCAACUGAAGGGGAAGAUUCCCGGUGUCUGUGAUGCUCGUCGUUUGGUGUGAUGCAGACAGAGUGGCGAGAGUGGUGAAAUAAGUCAUUGUCUGUUCUUUUGAGUUUUGAUGUCUUUUGAUGAGUUUUGAGUCUUUGCCCGACAAAGUGAUGUUAGGAUAUAUAAUUUAUCCUGUACAAGCUUUUGUACCGAAUACAUUACGUUGUUACAGGUGUCAAGCUUAUGGGCAUGUGGCAGCAGUGUGUAGCAGGGAUGUUCCUAGGUGUGAGAAGAGUGCAGACGGACAAGAGAAAGGACUGUGUAGCAUUGGGUAAAGUAGUGGUAUCUGUUGAUUGUAGGGGUGCCCAUGGGGCUGGGGCUCAGAAAUGUCCUGUGUGAGAGAGGCAGGUUGAGGUUUCCAGGGUUAGAGUAGUGCAGAAGUUGUCAUAUGCCAAGGCAGUGAAGAAAGUAGAGGAAGACGGGUCAAGGAUGAGGGAUCCUGAGAGGAGUGGUGUGAGUAUUAGAUCUGUACCAGUACAGAGGGAUAGGCCGUCAAGUGAUAUAUGUUUCAAUAAGAUUAGAUUUUUUGCAUUUAUAGCAAUGGUUAUCAACUGUACUGCAGGAAUGUUGCAGAAAAUUGAGGUUGUGGUGGCAGCUGCAGAGAAGUAUUUGGUUGUGUGAGACUUAACAUCAGAAGAGUAACAGGGUGCGUUAAGUGGUCGUGUCCCAUCCCUUUAAGUUGUUGGCAUGAGGUAGUAGUAAAUAGGUUUAAAUAAAUCAAAAUCAAAUCACAUUUUAUUUGUCACAUACGCCAAAUAAAACAGGUGUAGACCUUAUAGUGAAAUGCUUACUUACAAGCCCUGAACCAACGAUGCAGUUAAGAA